rnacentral:rRNA from 1 species
GACGAACGCUGGCGGCGUGCCUAAUACAUGCAAGUUGAGCGCUGAAGGUUGGUACUUGUACCAACUGGAUGAGCAGCGAACGGGUGAGUAACGCGUGGGGAAUCUGCCUUUGAGCGGGGGACAACAUUUGGAAACGAAUGCUAAUACCGCAUAAAAACUUUAAACACAAGUUUUAAGUUUGAAAGAUGCAAUUGCAUCACUCAAAGAUGAUCCCGCGUUGUAUUAGCUAGUUGGUGAGGUAAAGGCUCACCAAGGCGAUGAUACAUAGCCGACCUGAGAGGGUGAUCGGCCACAUUGGGACUGAGGCACGGCCCAAACUCCUACGGGAGGCAGCAGUAGGGAAUCUUCGGCAAUGGACGAAAGUCUGACCGAGCAACGCCGCGUGAGUGAAGAAGGUUUUCGGAUCGUAAAACUCUGUUGGUAGAGAAGAACGUUGGUGAGAGUGGAAAGCUCAUCAAGUGACGAUAACUACCCAGAAAGGGACGGCUAACUACGUG